rnacentral:rRNA from 1 species
UACGAAGGGGGCUAGCGUUGCUCGGAAUCACUGGGCGUAAAGGGUGCGUAGGCGGGUCUUUAAGUCAGGGGUGAAAUCCUGGAGCUCAACUCCAGAACUGCCUUUGAUACUGAGGAUCUUGAGUUCGGGAGAGGUGAGUGGAACUGCGAGUGUAGAGGUGAAAUUCGUAGAUAUUCGCAAGAACACCAGUGGCGAAGGCGGACUCGCUGGCCCGAUACUGACGCUGAGGCACGAAAGCGUGAGGAG